AUGGUGCUCCCAGUUCAGGUCUCUCCACUCUUCAAGUUCGGCCGGUACUCAGCUCUGAUCCUCGGCCUGGCAUAGGGCGCCAAGCACUACGGUUACCACCACCACCCACCACCCCACCCUACCCCCGGCAGAGGAGGAGGGAAGAGCAGCAGAGAAAGAGACUAGUUGAGUUGAAAUGAAUUGAGAGAGAACUGGCCCAAGAUGACAGCAUUCUCAAGUGA
rnacentral:lncRNA from 1 species